GACGAACGCUGGCGGCGCGCCUAACACAUGCAAGUCGAACGAGGUCUUUUAGAAAGCUUGCUUUCUGGCUGACCUAGUGGCGGACGGGUGAGUAACACGUGAGCAACCUGCCCUAAAGAGGGGGAUAACGUCUGGAAACGGACGCUAAUACCGCAUAACCUAUUUAAAUGGCAUCAUUUAGAUAGCAAAGGAGAAAUCCGCUUUGGGAUGGGCUCGCGCCCGAUUAGGUAGUUGGUGAGGUAAAGGCUCACCAAGCCGACGAUCGGUAGCCGGACUGAGAGGUUGAUCGGCCACAUUGGGACUGAGACACGGCCCAGACUCCUACGGGAGGCAGCAGUGGGGGAUAUUGCACAAUGGGGGAAACCCUGAUGCAGCGACGCCGCGUGGGUGAAGACGGCCUUCGGGUUGUAAAGCCCUGUUGCAGAGGACGAUAAUGACGGUACUCUGUAAGAAAGCCACGGCUAACUACGUGCCAGCAGCCGCAGUAACAC
rnacentral:rRNA from 1 species